AGUGGGAUAGCUGGGUCAAAUGGUGGUUCCAUUCCCAGUUUUCUGAGGAAACUCUAUACUGUUUUCCAUAUUGGUUGCACCAGUUUGUAGUCCCACCAGCAAU
rnacentral:pre_miRNA from 1 species